GGCAGAUUUGAGAGAUGUUGAAUUAUGUCCAUUAUAUUAAAAAAAAAAGUAAUCUCAUGUAGAUCUACAGGUCUGUACUUUUUUUAUUUCCGCAAUAAAUUUUCGAAUGGAUGAAAACAUCUUACAACAUGUGCAGGCUGUCCUGAAGAAUGAAGGAGGAUUGUUAGAGAGGAAUAUGCCAACCAGAACUGCAAUUAGGAGUCAUUGACAGGAGGAACCGUUGUGACUUGUACGAGGAUGAAGCUUUCAAGCACCACACGCUACCUUAUCAACAUGCUUGAAGAUGAUCUGAGCCUGAGGAGGGACAAAGGGCCGAGUGAUCGACUACCUUUGUAUCUGCAAAUAUCGACAAUUCUGCGUUUGUAUGCUGAUAAUUUCAGGGAAUACAUGGUGAUGAGACAUCAGCUGUUGAGAGAUCAAAGAUGUUUCGCAAGCCAUAGCAAGAAGAAAGGUUUUGUGAGAACUUCAACAACCAGAGAUGAGAUUGAGGCUACCCAACAACAACUGUAUGAGCGUUGUGGCCCAGUGGAUUAGUCUCCCAGACCUUGAAACAGAGGGUCGUGGGUUCGAAUCCCAGCCAUGGCGUAAUUUCCUUCAACAAGAAACUGAUCCACACAGUGCUGCACUCAACCUAGGCUAGGUAAAUGGGUACCGGUAGGAAGUAAUUCCUCAAGAAGCUGUGAACGCCUAGCUUAGCCGGGUAAUAUAGGAGCGCCUUGAGCACCUAAUAAGGUGGAUAUGUGCGCAAUAUAAAUACCCUAUAUUAUUAUUUUGAGUACCAGUACUACAGGAAUUCAAUAGUCAUAGGUGUGAUCGAUGGGACCCAUGUCUAUAUAAGAUAAUAAGAAUUCCUGGAGGAACACAAGCUUUGUACUUUUUUGAAGGGCAAGUCCACCCCAACAAAGAGUUUCUUUUAUAUAAUAGAGAAAAGUCCAAUGAGCAUAACACUGAAACUUUCAUAAAAAUUUGAUGUAAAAUGAGAAAGUUCUGACAUUUUGAAGUUUUGCUUAUAAGUUAUUUUCACAAAACAUCUGUGCACAUCCUGGUCAUUAUGCAAAUGAGCGACCAAGUGACGUUCUCCAUUCACCGUUUCUUUUGAAAUAUAUCAUUAAAUAUGAUUUUUUUUUCGCCUCAUAAUGUGUAAUACAGGUGUACCGGUAUGCUUUGAUUUCUCCCUGAAAUUUGUGUAAAAAGCCAUUGUGGCAACCUGAACUCAAUUCAAUGAAGACUUAUAAUUGUGAAUUCUGUAAAAAUUCAAGUUUUAUAAUAUAUUUCAUAUCUUGAUAUGCAAAAGAAAGACUGUGACAUAGACUUAAUUGCAUAUCACCUGUUUUGUGCAUAUAAGUGAUUUGUGUGAAUCUUUGAUAUGUCAUUACUUAUUUUACAUCAUAUUUUGAUGUUGUCAGUGUCAUGCAUGUUUUAUUUUUAUCUAUCCAUUCAAAUAAACUUUUUGUUGUACAGUGGACUUGCUCUAGAACAGGUAUUUUUGUAUGUACAUGUAAGAAUUUCAUUAUUUAUUUGUGUCUUUUCUUUUAACGCUUUUUUACUGGGGGUUGAAGCAACCUCCCUUGAGAUCUUGGCCAAUGAUCACGUAAAUGCCUUGAAAAUUGGUAUGAUAAUAGUGGGGGAUGUAAUGUGCAAUGAAAUAUGGUUAAUUUUUCCGAAGUUGUCAGAUCUUUUAUAUGAAUUAUGCUAAUUUAUGUGUAAAUUAUACUUUUAUACCAUUGCUAUAAAAUGCUAACAAUCAAAUAUAUAAAAAAAAUCCUCGUUUGAAAAUGAAUUUCUUAUGUAUUUUAUUGUUUUAUGAAUUUCCUAUCUAUAUCUUUGUUUUUCAACCUUUUGGUUUUCUUUAUUAAGAAGAUGAGAAAUCUCAACAUUGACCUUUUACACAAAAUCCCAUUUUGGAGCAAUUCUGGGUCUGACAUGCACUUAUGUAAUAUUGAGUAAUUUUCCAACCGCAUACCAGGCAUCGUAAAUUUGGUCUCAAAAGAUGUGCAAGACUUCAAAAUAAAAUGUUGGCGAGCGGCACGGUCGUAUAAUUUCUCACAGUGGAAUGGUCGUGGAAAAUGUCGAGGGUGGGGGGUUGAUUUAACCCCCCCCCCCGCGGUUUUAGGGUUGAAAUAGCACAUGAUUUUUGAGAAUUUCACAUGAAUACAAAGGAAAUUAUCUAAUCUAUUUCUUUUUUAAGUAUUUGAAAUUAACUUUUAUCAGAUUUAGUUUCUUUCACAGACUACAUGUAUCUUUAAUGAUUUUAAAUUCAAACAGUUUGUU